rnacentral:rRNA from 1 species
UACAGAGGUCCCAAGCGUUGUUCGGAUUCACUGGGCGUAAAGGGCGCGUAGGUGGUCGGAUAAGUUUGAUGUGAAAUCUCCGGGCUUAACCCGGAAACUGCAUUGAAUACUAUUUGGCUAGAGGGUUGGAGGGGGGACUGGAAUACUUGGUGUAGCAGUGAAAUGCGUAGAUAUCAAGUGGAACACCAGUGGCGAAGGCGAGUCCCUGGACAACUCCUGACACUGAGGCACGAAAGCUAGGGGAGCAAACAGG